ensembl:lncRNA
GUCACCGAGCAAUUAGAGGGAAACACACACACACACACACACACACACCCGCACACACAUACACACACACACACAGAGCAGAGUUAGAUCCCAAAGCACACAUUUCUCUUCAUCACUGAAAGGAUUUCGGAAGUAAAGGAGGCUCGCGCGCUUUCACACUAAAACCACUGGAUCAAAAUCUGGAGAUGUACACUGACUUUUUUUUUUUUUUUUUUUUUUUGUUGUGUGUGUGUGUGUGUGUGUGUGUGUGUGUGUGUGUGUAUCAAACUGAACAAUGUGGGAUAGGUGUGGAAAAAACCAGCACAGCUUUGGAUGACUAAUUCUUCACCAGCUCUUUAUCCUCCAUGUUUUUUUCCUCGUUUGUCCCAACUUGCAACAUGACUGGAGACGGGAACGCUAUUCCCAUAAGGCUAAAUGUAAAAUGUGUGAGGGCAGAUGAGAAAAAAUGGCAAGUGGGAACGCACGUCAACACGCCCCUGCUUUGUGGUCGUGGGAAGCCUGGAGCCUUUCCCAGGGGAUUCGGGGCACAAGACAGGGGACACGCUGGACACCCAUCGCAGGACACAUUCACACACACAUUCACAUACUACGGACCAUUUAGAGAUGCAAAUCUGCCUACAGUGUAUAUCUUUGGACUGGGGGAGGAAACUGGAGUACCCGGAGGAAACCUUUGAAGCACAGGGAGAGCAUGCUCUGUGCACACAGGGUGGAGGAGGAAUUCGAACCCCCCAUCCCUGGAGGUGCGAAGCAAAUGUGCUAACCACUAAACCACCAAAUAAUAACUCAACAAUUCUAAUGAAACUCUUAUCAGUCUUUAAGCUAAAUAACCAAACUGUAACACUAUUUAUGUGUUCAGAUAUUGCCAUUUAUCAAGAACAAAAAGAAGCAACAGCAACAAUAUUAUAUUCAGGAUGUACUUUUCUUGUACAAUUUUGUUUUAUAACACUGAUUUGUUGUUCUGUUCUAUACAGUAUGUACACUUUGUUCAUCAUUAAAUAUAUAUAUAUAUAUAUAUAUAUAUAUAUAUAUAUAUAUAUAUAUAUAUAUAUAUAUAUAUAUAUAUAUCAAUUAAAUAGGGGGCAG